rnacentral:tmRNA from 1 species
CCCCUUGAGCGGCACGGCGCGCGCGCCUAUAUUGGAGGUGUCCCGCAAGGGACUAUGGCGAUAAACGCGCACGGAAUAAGCGGAUCGGACCCGGGGGCGGUACCCGGCGGCUCCACCAGAUCACCCGCGUUGGGGGGCAUGGGGCCGAAACAGGAUCGACGAACGUGUAAAGGUGUUGCUUUCGCCCGGUGAGCUACCACCGUUAUCGGUGCACAAAGUACAGUUGCCAACGACAACCGUGCUCCGGUCGCCGUUGCUGCGUAAGCAGUAACGAGACCGAAACUUAAGCCCUUGCGCCUAGCAGCGUAAGGCGGGGUUCGCAGGCACCUGGCAACAGAAGCCUGCACU